rnacentral:rRNA from 1 species
GACGAACGCUGGCGGCGUGCCUAAUACACGCAAGUCGAACGAACCGCGACUGAGUGCUUGCACUUGGUCAAGGUGAGUGGCGAACGGGUGAGUAACACGUGGGUAACCUACCUCAUAGUGGGGGAUAACAGUCGGAAACGACUGCUAAUACCGCAUAGGACAUGGAAUCACAUGAUUCUGUGAGGAAAGGUGGCGCAAGCUAUCGCUAAGAGAUGGACCCGCGGUGCAUUAGCUAGUUGGUAGGGUAAGGGCCUACCAAGGCGAUGAUGCAUAGCCGACCUGAGAGGGUGAUCGGCCACAUUGGGACUGAGACACGGCCCAAACUCCUACGGGAGGCAGCAGUAGGGAAUCUUCCGCAAUGGACGCAAGUCUGACGGAGCAACGCCGCGUGAGUGAAGAAGGUCUUCGGAUCGUAAAGCUCUGUUGUUAGAGAAGAACAGCGCAUAGAGUAACUGUUAUGCGUGUGACGGUAUCUAACCAGAAAGCCACGGCUAACUACGUG